rnacentral:rRNA from 1 species
GACGAACGCUGGCGGCGUGCUUAACACAUGCAAGUCGAACGGAAAGGCCCUGCUUUUGUGGGGUGCUCGAGUGGCGAACGGGUGAGUAACACGUGAGUAACCUGCCCUUGACUUUGGGAUAACUUCAGGAAACUGGGGCUAAUACCGGAUAGGAGCUCCUGCUGCAUGGUGGGGGUUGGAAAGUUUCGGCGGUUGGGGAUUGACUCGCGGCUUAUUAGCUUGUUGGUGGGGUAGUGGCUUACCAAGGCUUUGACGGGUAGCCGGCCUGAGAGGGUGACCGGCCACAUUGGGACUGAGAUACGGCCCAGACUCCUACGGGAGGCAGCAGUGGGGAAUAUUGCACAAUGGGCGGAAGCCUGAUGCAGCAACGCCGCGUGCGGGAUGACGGCCUUCGGGUUGUAAACCGCUUUCGCCUGUGACGAAGCGUGAGUGACGGUAAUGGGUAAAGAAGCACCGGCUAACUACGUG